rnacentral:lncRNA from 1 species
CUUUGGACUAUGGACCAGACUUUAUGUAAAUGUGUUAACCCAGAUAGCUAUGCCAUGGAGCCCAUUCGUGUAGUUAAAGACUUCGGCUCCAUGGCAAUUGAACUGUGUGAAUAGGAUCUGAGCGCUAUUCGGUAGUUUUGUGCGCUCAGAUCCCAGCUAUCUGGGGAUAUGUGAAAUGUCUGUGUGUUAUGUGUAAAAGGUGACUUUAUGUAUUUUAAAGUGUUUUAUG